rnacentral:rRNA from 1 species
GACGAACGCUGGCGGCGUGCUUAACACAUGCAAGUCGAACGGAAAGGCCCUGCUUUUGUGGGGUGCUCGAGUGGCGAACGGGUGAGUAACACGUGAGUAACCUGCCCUUGACUUUGGGAUAACUUCAGGAAACUGGGGCUAAUACCGGAUAGGAGCUCCUGCUGCAUGGGGGGGGUUGGAAAGUUUCGGCGGUUGGGGAUGGACUCGCGGCUUAUCAGCUCGUUGGUGGGGUAGUGGCUUACCAAGGCUUUGACGGGUAGCCGGCCUGAGAGGGUGACCGGCCACAUUGGGACUGAGAUACGGCCCAGACUCCUACGGGAGGCAGCAGUGGGGAAUAUUGCACAAUGGGCGGAAGCCUGAUGCAGCAACGCCGCGUGCGGGAUGACGGCCUUCGGGUUGUAAACCGCUUUCGCCUGUGACGAAGCGUGAGUGACGGUAAUGGGUAAAGAAGCACCGGCUAACUACGUG